rnacentral:rRNA from 1 species
GACGAACGCUGGCGGCGUGCUUAACACAUGCAAGUCGAACGGAAAGGCCCUGCUUUUGUGGGGUGCUCGAGUGGCGAACGGGUGAGUAACACGUGAGUAACCUGCCCUUGACUUUGGGAUAACUUCAGGAAACUGGGGCUAAUACCGGAUAGGAGCUCCUGCUGCAUGGUGGGGGUUGGAAAGUUUCGGCGGUUGGGGAUGGACUCGCGGCUUAUCAGCUUGUUGGUGGGGUAGUGGCUUACCAAGGCUUUGACGGGUAGCCGGCCUGAGAGGGUGACCGGCCACAUUGGGACUGAGAUACGGCCCAGACUCCUACGGGAGGCAGCAGUGGGGAAUAUUGCACAAUGGGCGGAAGCCUGAUGCAGCAACGCCGCGUGCGGGAUGACGGCCUUCGGGUUGUAAACCGCUUUCGCCUGUGACGAAGCGUGAGUGACGGUAAUGGGUAAAGAAGCACCGGCUAACUACGUGCCAGCAGCCGCGGUGAUACGUAGGGUGCGAGCGUUGUCCGGAUUUAUUGGGCGUAAAGGGCUCGUAGGUGGUUGAUCGCGUCGGAAGUGUAAUCUUGGGGCUUAACCCUGAGCGUGCUUUCGAUACGGGUUGACUUGAGGAAGGUAGGGGAGAAUGGAAUUCCUGGUGGAGCGGUGGAAUGCGCAGAUAUCAGGAGGAACACCAGUGGCGAAGGCGGUUCUCUGGGCCUUUCCUGACGCUGAGGAGCGAAAGCGUGGGGAGCGAACAGGCUUAGAUACCCUGGUAGUCCACGCUGUAAACGGUGGGUACUAGGUGUGGGGUCCAUUCCACGGGUUCCGUGCCGUAGCUAACGCUUUAAGUACCCCGCCUGGGGAGUACGGCCGCAAGGCUAAAACUCAAAGGAAUUGACGGGGCCCCGCACAAGCGGCGGAGCAUGCGGAUUAAUUCGAUGCAACGCGUAGAACCUUACCUGGGUUUGACAUGGAUCGGGAGCGCUCAGAGAUGGGUGUGCCUCUUUUGGGGUCGGUCCACAGGUGGUGCAUGGCUGUCGUCAGCUCGUGUCGUGAGAUGUUGGGUUAAGUCCCGCAACGAGCGCAACCCUUGUUCACUGUUGCCAGCACGUUAUGGUGGGGACUCAGUGGAGACCGCCGGGGUCAACUCGGAGGAAGGUGGGGAUGACGUCAAGUCACCAUGCCCCUUAUGUCCAGGGCUUCACGCAUGCUACAAUGGCUGGUACAGAGAGUGGCGAGCCUGUGAGGGUGAGCGAAUCUCGGAAAGCCGGUCUCAGUUCGGAUUGGGGUCUGCAACUCGACCUCAUGAAGUCGGAGUCGCUAGUAAUCGCAGAUCAGCAACGCUGCGGUGAAUACGUUCCCGGGGCU